rnacentral:rRNA from 1 species
UCCGUAGGUGGCAAGCGUUGUCCGGAUUUACUGGGCGUAAAGAGCGCGCAGGCGGUCGUUCAAGUCGCGUGUGAAAGCCCCCGGCUCAACUGGGGAGGGUCACGCGAUACUGAUCGACUCGAAGGCAGGAGAGGGUAGUGGAAUUCCCGGUGUAGUGGUGAAAUGCGUAGAUAUUGGGAGGAACACCAGUGGCGAAGGCGGCUCACUGGACUGGUACUGACGCUGAUGCGCGAAAGCGUGGGGAGCAAACAGG